rnacentral:rRNA from 1 species
UACGUAGGUGGCGAGCGUUGUCCGGAUUUACUGGGCGUAAAGAGCGCGCAGGCGGUCGUGCAAGUCGCGUGUGAAAGCCCCCCGGCUCAACUGGGGAGGGUCACGCGAUACUGGUCGACUCGAAGGCAGGAGAGGGUAGUGGAAUUCCCGGUGUAGUGGUGAAAUGCGUAGAUAUCGGGAGGAACACCAGUGGCGAAGGCGACUACCUGGCCUGUUCUUGACGCUGAGGCGCGAAAGCUAGGGGAGCAAACGGG